UGAUAGGUCAGCUGGUAGAGCAUGAGAGUCUUCAUCUCAGGGUUCUGGGUUCAAGCUCCAUGAUGGGCAAAA